AUUGAACGCUGGCGGCAGGCUUAACACAUGCAAGUCGAGCGGAGUGAUGGUGCUUGCACUAUCACUUAGCGGCGGACGGGUGAGUAAUGCUUAGGAAUCUGCCUAUUAGUGGGGGACAACAUCUCGAAAGGGAUGCUAAUACCGCAUACGUCCUACGGGAGAAAGCAGGGGAUCACUUGUGACCUUGCGCUAAUAGAUGAGCCUAAGUCGGAUUAGCUAGUUGGUGGGGUAAAGGCCUACCAAGGCGACGAUCUGUAGCGGGUCUGAGAGGAUGAUCCGCAAGACUGGGACUGAGACACGGCCCAGACUCCUACGGGAGGUAGCAGUGGGGAAUAUUGGACAAUGGGGGGAACCCUGAUCCAGCCAUGCCGCGUGUGUGAAGAAGGCCUUAUGGUUGUAAAGCACUUUAAGCGAGGAGGAGGCUCUUUUGGUUAAUACCCAAGAUGAGUGGACGUUACUCGCAGAAUAAGCACCGGCUAACUCUGUGCCAGCCGCCGCCGUAA
rnacentral:rRNA from 1 species